GUUGGGCCUUGGAAGAGAAUAGGGAAUCGGGUGCAACUCCCGAGCGGUACCGCCACUGUGAGCGCGGAGGUUCCGGCAUGAGGUGAAAACCGGUCAUUGGAUUUUUCCGAGAAGACGUUUGCCGAGAGCUGAGGAUGCGUGAGCCAGGAUACCUGCUGAAACG
rnacentral:ncRNA from 1 species